UACAUGCUUCCUCCGGAUUAUGG
rnacentral:siRNA from 1 species